AUGAAUCAUGACAUGAUACUCUCGAUUGAUUCAUGUAAAAGGCUCAAUAAAGAUGGCAUUUGCUUAAUGUUGGAGCUUACUACACUUGGAAUAAUGGUCGAGUGGGUAGCUCUAACACUCCGAAGAGAUUGGAUAGAGAAAUUUGUAUCAUUGAUUGGCUUUCUCUUUUCAAUCAAACUUCUUGAUGCACGCUUACUAAAAUUCCUCAAAACUAAUUUGAAGAAAUAG